rnacentral:rRNA from 1 species
UACAGAGGUCUCAAGCGUUGUUCGGAUUCAUUGGGCGUAAAGGGUGCGUAGGCGGCGCGGUAAGUCGGGUGUGAAAUCUUGGAGCUUAACUCCGAAACUGCAUUCGAUACUGCCGUGCUUGAGGACUGGAGAGGAGACUGGAAUUCAUGGCGUAGCAGUGAAAUGCGUAGAUAUCAUGAGGAAGACCAGUGGCGAAGGCGGGUCUCUGGACAGUUCCUGACACUGAGACACGAAGGCCAGGGGAGCAAACGGG